rnacentral:rRNA from 1 species
UGCGUAGGUGGUUUUGUAUGUCGGAUGUGAAAGCCCACUGCUCAACGGUGGAAAUGCAUCCGAAACUGCAGAACUUGAGUGCAGGAGGGGAGAGCGGAAUUCUUGGUGUAGCGGUGAAAUGCGUUGAUAUCAAGAAGAACACCGGUGGCGAAGGCGGCUCUCUGGAAUGCUACUGACGCUGAGGCACGAAAGCGUGGGGGAGCGAACA